ACGCACGCUGGCGGCAUGCCUAACACAUGCAAGUCGAACGAGACCUUCGGGUCUAGUGGCGCACGGGUGCGUAACGCGUGGGAACCUGCCCUUAGGUUCGGAAUAACUCCCCGAAAGGGGUGCUAAUACCGGAUAAUGUCUUCGGACCAAAGAUUUAUCGCCUUUGGAUGGGCCCGCGUUGGAUUAGCUAGUUGGUAGGGUAAAAGCCUACCAAGGCGACGAUCCAUAGCUGGUCUGAGAGGAUGAUCAGCCACACUGGGACUGAGACGCGGCCCAGACUCCUACGGGAGGCAGCAGUGGGGAAUAUUGGACAAUGGGCGAAAGCCUGAUCCAGCAAUGCCGCGUGAGUGAUGAAGGCCUUAGGGUUGUAAAGCUCUUUUACCCGGGAUGAUAAUGACAGUACCGGGAGAAUAAGCUCCGGCUAACUCCGUG
rnacentral:rRNA from 1 species